UACUUGUUCUGCAAGACCAGGAGAAGACAUAGUGUAGUCUAAGACUGAUGAGUGGUACACUAUUCAUGUGUUUGGAGGAACAGGUGAUGGUAGAGAUACUGAAGAGGGAAAAUGACUCCCAGCCUCUCCAGCCUGAGCAGUAAUUCAGCUCAGUGGGACUGUCACUAUUUAAAGAGUAGUGCAAUCAAGCUACUGACUACCUUUGACUUUCCAUGGUUAUGAGCCUUAGCACCUAUUUGUGCCUUUGGAAGUCAUCCCAGAAUUUGCUGACUUGUGAUUUCUCAUCAGGGACCCCGUUCUCUCAGUUAAAGUGAAUAACUUGCUUUUUCCUUAUAUUAAAUUUUAAUGCAAUAACUUUUUGGACUUUCCUGUUUCUGAUAUUGCAGAGGGGAGAUGGAAUGGAGUUCAAGCAAGGAAAGUGGAGAUAUAUCAUCUACCUGCACUGAAGUAUAAACAGUCACCAGCUGAUGCCAUAUAUUGCUCGAUGACGUUGAUGUUGCUGGAAAAAUCUCUAGGACUGAAAAAUAGUAGGGAUAAAAAAUUGGCAGACUGUGUUUCUGUUCCUGAUUGAAUGGAAGUUGAUAAAUUUCAUUCUAUUUAUAGGCAUAGUCUUGUUUUAUAUUGAUUUGCUGUUCUUAAAAAAAAAAAAAAUUCAACUCCAAAUAAUUUAGGGUUACAAGAGAGCCCACUGCACUCUGUGAAUGGUCUUCUGAGUAGCAAAAUGUAAGGCAGAAAUGUCAGCAAGAAAGUGACAGAACUCUUCAACUGUGCUCUGGUUUUGCUGUUGGAAGUUUACAGUUCUGCUGAGAAAGCCAGGAAGACUCCCAAAGCAAGGCUGUGAAAAUCAAGGAUUGUGCUUCAUAGUUAUGUGAAUGAUCUCUGGGAUGAAUGUGGGAAGAAUGAAGAGGGGAGACCCCACCAUUUCUCUGAAGUAUGUCUUUCCUACGUGGUUCCUUUCUGAAAGCAUGCACCAUGACCUGUGUUUUUGUGAAAGCCUGAGCUUGCAGUGGUUGUCAGCAUUCUGACAAGUCACACUAAUGCAAUAAAAACUGGACAUUUUCAAGGAAGGUUUAUUGAAUGGCCAGGAAGGCGCAGUUAUUCAAAGUGUGUUCCCACUGGCACCAUUGAUACCAUGAUCCUUCCCAGGACUCUUCUCCAGGACAAGUGGAUCCUCUAUGCUGACAAAGCAACCUUAAUGCUGGUAUCACACUGUUGCUGUCAGAUUCCCUCAUUUCCACCCAAGCCACAGAUCCAAAAUAUUGAGGAAAGCUUCAAGAUUAGGGGUAUGUUUGCUACCCCAUAUACAGCUCCUAUCUGCAAGAAAUUCCUGAGCUUUCACUGUGUCUACCUCAUUGAUUUUUAAGAGUCUGGGAGUUUGGAGCCUCUGGAAGCAGCUUGACACGUAAUGUGAAACCUGCAAAUCCUGCCAAUUGCCACGGAAAGGCACAACUAGCACCUGCCCUGAGCAAGACCUGUAACUGUGCUGGACAUUUCUCUCCCAUCAGGGGUGGAUUUCCCCUGACAACUGCAGCACUGUGGCUGGGGAGAAGCUUUCAGUGAAUCCUGAUUGUCCCAUAACAUGCUGCAGGAGAGGGGUCAGAUUUAACAGCCUGUUCUGGAUUUGCACUGCAGUAACUGGGACCAGAUUCAGUUCUUUAGGCUUCUGCAUCGUGGUGGUCCCCAAAUCAUCAUGGCUCAGUGUUGUCACAGCUGUCCCCUGUGACCAUUCAGAGACCAGAAUGAGGUCCUGAACCUUUUCUUCUUCCAGGUUGGAUCUGCAGCCUUUCAGCUUGCUCUCUUUAGUCAUUCCAGCAAGGCAUCAUGGGUUUAAUGUCCUCCUGACCAAACUGUUUGCUCCCACUUGAACUACUGCAUUGAGAAAAAAACAGGUUCAUUCUCCCCUGAUCCAGAAUUUGUAAAUAGUAGAACUCUCUGAAGGCUUCCCAAUUAAUUGUGUACUUCAGAGGGAAAACAAAACUCCUGCACACUUCAUUUCCUUCCAGUCCUACAACUGGAGCAGCCCAUCACAGUGUCCAUAGCCUGAGCACCACUGCUCUCCCUCUGCCUGAGCAGCUGCACCAGGCACACCUGGCAGUCCCAAACCUGACUGCCUCCUCUUCUCAGGGGGCUGGAAAGGCACUUUGAUUCUUGCAUUCACAACCUGGGCUUCCUCACUUGCCAAAUACAUCUGACAGACCCACCAGGUACCCAAAUCCCCACCUCGCCUGGCUGCUCAAAGGACAGUCCCUGAACAAGCAGGUUCAGUCAGCUCAGGAAGACCUACAGAAAACUGUGUCCCUGCAAAGGAGAAAUGUUCUUUCUGCUUGAGGAUUGAUCUCCAGGCAGCUCAGCACUCACCUGGCCUCUCUCUCUGCCCCUCACCCUCUCCCAUCAGGAUCAGCAGCACAGCUCCUCCUGGGCAUCGCAGGGAGGUGGCUGCCAGUGAGCACGCAGCCUGAAGUAUGGGCGUGGGCUGAUAACAAAGGUGGGAAGAACACAUGCUUUCCUCAGCUCUGGCGGUGCUGAGGAGCCCCUUUCCCACGAUUGAUGGGUUUCUCACACCAGGGCCCGCCCAGCCCAGAUGGAGAAGCAGCGCUAUUUCCCCCACUGCCUCCUCUCCCUCCCCAGCCCCAAACUCCCCGCCCAGCAGAGGCUGAGCACAAAAGCCACUCAUCAAGUUAAAAGCCAGCCUGCAGUGCCGGAGGAGGGGCUGGCAAGAAUCACCUACGAUUGAAUUCAGCAAUGGGAAGGGACAAGUGAUGAGGGUUAGGAGUUGAACCGAUGGGUCUCUAUCCAUUUGGCUGCUCCAAGGUUGGCCUCUUUUUUUGUUUUCUCUGGUGUAUCUUUAAUAUCCUCCUUCCUCCCUGAUACAAAUCAGUGAUUCCUGCUUGGGUACUCGGCUCCUGUAAGAUUUUCGAGCAGAGCUGAAGGCUACAAGAUUACUGAACAACGAGCAGAACCUGCUUUAUUGCCAAGCAUUUAAUAUCCUGUUUCCAGCAGUGGAGGCCUAGAGGAAAAGUAUGGCAUGAGACCUCUCCCAGCAUAUCCACUGUGCCUCUGGCAUAAAGGUGAGGAGAGGACAUAGGUUCAGAGCCAUCAAAUAAGAAGACAUCCUUCUCAUAUUAAUCCUUUUCUCAAAUAAAUCUGCACCUGAAAAGCCUUUCACAGUCAAACAAGGCCAAAAAUGUUUUCAUUUAUGUCCAUCACUCCCAAUCUGACCUCUUGCACAUUUGUUGCAUAUGUGCAGUAUUGGAUAGUAAGUGCAAUGGGACAACGAAUUAGUGGGCUCAGAGUUGUCCACAAAAUACCUGAAGAUAUGGACCACUUUAAAAAUAAAUUAUAAAUAUAUUGUGUGAAACAAAGGAGGUUUUCUUUUCUAAUUUGUUUUUCAACUUUUUGCUUAUAUUUUUUUAUUAAGCUCUUUGCUCUAAGCCUGAAUGUUUUCUUAUUGAAAUUACUCCUUGUCAUUUGUAAAAUAUUCUGUCUAACAAGGAAGAUCUUUUGCCCGUGACCUUCAAAAUAGAGGUCAUGUUGUUCAAAAAUUAUUUUAACUGUGUUACUUCUAGGCUGUGUUCAGGUUUGUAAUACUGAAGAGCUGUGUUGAGUGCAUAUUCACCACAGCACAGCAGUAGCUUCAUAUUGCAUAUCAGCAUUAGUACAAAAUCCAUCGUGAGUGUUUUAGGACAGGGGUUUGUGAGGGUCUGAGUGAAAAAACUGUCUGUGAUAGUGAGUGUGCAGACUGAAGAAUAAAUAUUUAAAGGUGACUGUGGAGGAGGUUUUGUAACAUCAUGAAUUAGCAGCAGCUUGUGGUCCCUAUAGCUCAUUUCCUGAUGUGAUGCCUCUCAGGAUGCUCCUGCUCUGCUGCUUCCUGGUGCCAAACCAGCACCGAUCUGGGGGUCUCCUCCUCACAGUGCCUGGGGCAGCUGCAGCCCCAGCCCCAGCUGGGGGCUCCCCAUCCAGGCUGGCACUGUCCCCUCACUGCCUGCACAUGGCUCUGGGACACUCACUUCUCACAAGUCCACAGCCUUGUGGUUGUCAUAACCAUUCCCCAACUCAUUUCCCCGUGUGCAGCGAUCGGAUAUGGCUCUGGUUCAACAAGGUAUUUAACCAUCUGCUGAACUAAUCAGUUCCUUCAGCUGGAAUUUGCAGACUGUGAUGCAGAGAAAACAGCAUCCAUUGCACCCCACAACAAAUAACGUCAAACCUUCCCAAGUGAGAACUUGCCAAGCUCAAGGUGAAUUUUGUGUCACCUCUGGGGCAGCCACCUGGUCAGCAGCAAAGCCCCCUGUAACACAGCUCUCAGCAGCACUGACACCACACUGUUUGGUGCUGCAGGCUGUGGGUUUAGCUCUGGAAAGCUGCAGUUCAUAGUUUCAGCUGAGGUGACUGUCACCACAUCUCAGCCACAGCCCCCUGGGUCACUGCUUCUCUGCAGACUCCUCUGCACCCAACUGCUGCUCAGCUGCAGGAGAUUUUUACAGCUGGAAAAAAAAAGAAAAAGGCUUAUUUUGAAUAGCAUCUCAAUUGAUAUUCAAAACAAAGAUAUGGAUGUAGUCUGUUGUAGCUAAAGAUUUUUGUUAUUAAAAAUAUUUCCAGCUUACCGUUUUCCGUUCUCAGGGUGUUCAUUUAUGGACAGGCCAUUAUGUACUAUAUUCAGGUGUAAAAGUGAAUUUGAAAAAAAUUACAUUUUAAAGUAAAAUGUGGUGAAAUUUAUUACCUAGAGAAACAUUUAUGUAGCUAUAGAUCGGCAGGCAAAGGAGAUUGUAACAUCUCAGGGCACACUUGUGCGUGUGAAAAGGUGUGCAUGACUCUAAAGAGACAGUGCUGAAUAAUAUGAAUAUAGGUACACAUGGAAAUCCAAGGAAUAAAGACAUCCUGGUUGAAACCAAUGCAUAUAUUUUUUGCUUGUUCUUACAUUGUAUUUGGAAAAGAUCAUUUAAAAAAAAAAAAGACAACUCAAGAGACAGAGAUGCACAUGUAGAUGCAUGUCUGCAUGGAGGACUGGUGGCAAAUUGACUUUACCUCUAAGGAAAAACUGCUCACCUAUUUAAUGUUGAGUGGUUUUCGUUGCCCUUUGUUGAAGGCAUCUUUUUCUGGUUAUAAAACUGUUUCAGCCAUCUCAGUCACUAGCAAAUGUCUAUAAAAUGGGGACGGUGUUUCUCCUGUUAACACUUUGAAACCUGUACAGGCAGCUGCCACCGAGGGAGAUGUUCUGUGAGAGCUGGAUUCAGACCUUGGGUAUGUUCAUAGAUCCUAAACGCUCCUGAAAUCAGACCUUAAUCAGUCUUAACAUUAGGAUUCUUUAGACACAGAGGCUGAAUGCAGUAGAAACCCAUGGAAGAGCUGGAGAAAACUGUUACAGACACUCUCUGGUGAACAAAUUCCUGAGCUGUGCACCAGAUGAGCAACCCUGAUCCAUCUCUGUGUGCGAUGGUUAAAGCACUGCAUGGGUUAAACUGAUGAGUCCUGAACGCUGCACCAUGAAAAUAACAGUGUGUCUGAACAGCUCCAGUGAACUGAGUUAAACUCUGGACAAAUUCUCCCAACAAACUCACAAGCAAUGCAUCACAUUGGAGCUCUGGGCACACUGGUGAACUUUUGGGGGUGCCUGCUUCUAUCUCUGGGUAUGUAUCCAUUUCCUCACCUGGAAGAGCCCUAAAUGGAAUGAGCACCUGCUGGAAAUGGAGCAUCUGUCUUAGACCUUCACUUUCUGUUAGCUGCAUAGGAAAAAGUGGUCUCGAUUAGUUCAUUUUAGCAAAGAAAACCAAUUAAAAAAAAAAAUCACUUUCCUUGGGGUUAAAUGUUCCUGGGCAAAUAUCACAUUGAACUCCAUGCCAUGACUGAUGUCCCAGUAAACUGUUCCAUUACAGAUAAUAAAUAAUAACAUAAUAAUAAUAUUAAUAAAGAAACAUAUAAGCCCACAUUGACUGCAGAAAUAUUCGUAUUUUGCCAUACUUACAUGGAGCUUAGUCCAACUUGCCGUGGCAGAGAAACAAUCCUUAGGGAGCUUUAGGGACUGUUGGGUACUAGAAGGUCAGGUCUCUUUUAGG